CCAUAAAGAGAAGCCUUAGAAGAAGACAACACCAUACUUCCAAAAACCAACAGCCUUUUUCAUUAUUUUAAGCUUAUAGUGACCUGUCUAUCAUGUGCUUUUUCCACAUUUUAUGUUUUUUCUUUCUUUCUCUUUUCGAAUUGCUUUUAACUUCUUCUCUUCCUUCCUUGUCUCUCCCCAUCUUGGCUAUAACUAUCAUUCAUUUAUUUACUUCAUUUGUUUCUUUGAGCAAGAGAGAAAGAAAAAGAAAAAGAAAAAGAAAGAGAGAGAACAUCAUCACAUAUAGGCAAAGAACUUGAGUGUUUUUGCAGCUUUGUUUUGAUUGCUUGAAUCAUGAGAAAUCAAAAAGAGAGAGAGAGAGAGAGCUAGUUAGGGUCAUUGAAAGAAGGAACAAAAGAAAAAGGGUGUUUAGAAUGAAGCUCAAAAUCCAAGAUACUUCUCUCUAUGUCUCUCCGUUAUGUUCCUUCUGUCAUGUGAUAUAUUUAGUGACGCUUAUAUCGCCGCUAAUAAUUCAUAUAUGUUGGAAGGGAAAAACUGAGAAAGUAGUGUUUUGUUGAAGAAGAAAAGAGGGUGUAUGGAAUGAAGUUUGAUCCAAGAUCCAAGAUCCAUCAAUCAUCUUUCUUUUCUAAGUCAUGAAUUACGAUGAUAUUAAUGGAUCUCGGACCAGGCUUCAUUCCUCACACCAUGCUUUUCCAUUACUCCAUCACUUAACCCAAGCACUCUAUCUCAAAACCCAGGUGAUGGUUUCGCUGCAGUCAGACACGAGUCUGAAAGGUUCUCCUCCCCAACAACGUUACUUUCAGCCAUUUAAAAUUGAGUUUAAACCAGUUUUUGAACUACAUAACAAAUUAUUCAUAUAUAUUAUAUAAUUUAAACCUAUAAAUAUUAAAUAUUUAUAAUAUUAUGGUAUAGCAUUAAAAA